GCCCGGUUAGCUCAGUGGUAGAGCGUGUGGCUUUUACGGGGUUAAAUCCGGAAAAGCAUACCUCAAUGUCGCGGGUUCGACCCCCGCAUCGGGCU